rnacentral:rRNA from 1 species
AGCCUGAUGCAGCGACGCCGCGUGAGGGAUGACGGCCUUCGGGUUGUAAACCUCUUUCAGUAGGGAAGAAGGCGCAAGGUGACGGUACCUGCAUAAGAAGCGCCGGCUAACUACGUGCCAGCAGCCGCGGUAAUACCUAGGGCGCAAGCGUUAUCCGGAAUUAUUGGGCGUAAAGAGCUCGUAGGCGGUUUGUCGCGUCUGCCGUGAAAGUCCGGGGCUCAACUCCGGAUCUGCGGUGGGUACGGGCAGACUAGAGUGAUGUAGGGGAGACUGGAAUUCCUGGUGUAGCGGUGAAAUGCACAGAUAUCAGGAGGAACACCGAUGGCGAAGGCAGGUCUCUGGGCAUUAACUGACCCUGAGGAGCGAAAGCAUGGGGAGCGAACAGGAUUAGAUACCCUGGUAGUCCAUGCCGUAAACGUUGGGCACUAGGUGUGGGGGACAUUCCACGUUUUCCGCGCCGUAGCUAACGCAUUAAGUGCCCCGCCUGGGGAGUACGGCCGCAAGGCUAAAACUCAAAUGAGUUGACGG